UCGAACCCUAGCCGCUCCCUAUCGUCUUCUCCGGCCAAAUUCCACCGGCGUACAUGGCUUCCCAGGCUAUGAAUUGCUUGUUCUCUCUCCCCUUCACCACAAAUCGUGGUUGUUCGAGGUUUUUGAGGUUCAACUUUAACAAUACCUGUCCAAAUCCUCCGCCAAUCUGAGUUCCUGUGGCUUCUGCGGCAACGUGCCGAUGUUCUUGAGCCUUGAUAGGCCUAGAUAUGGUCCAGACUUGUUUGAGACCAGAUACUUUCCAAG
rnacentral:lncRNA from 1 species